rnacentral:rRNA from 1 species
GUUCAGGGCCAUGCCACCCUGAACAAGCCCGAUCCCGUCUGAUCUCAGAAGCUAAGCAGGGUCAGGCCUGGUUAGUACUUGGAUGAGAGACCACCUAGGAAGACCAGGUGCUUUUGUAA